AACACGAUUACUGGUCCACCUAGAAAUGCCGUGGAGCGAUUUAAGAGCCUCGGAAAUUUCCUUUAAGGUCAGGAGAGAAGCUGGUAACAGAUGGGGCGAAGGAGGAAAAGUUCUUUUUGCGGCACCCUCACGCCUUCCCAGCCCUUUCGCGGUUUACUCGCUCCCCGGAAAGCAGACUAGUCUCACUCUGUUGCCCAGGCUGGAGUGCAGUGGCGCGAUCUCAGCUUACUUCAGCCUCCGCCUCCCGGUUUCAAGUGAAUUCUCCAGCCUCAACUUCACAAGUAGCUGGGAUUACAGGGCAUUCAAGCAGCCCUGAGGAGAGGUCCACAUGGUGAGCCACUGAGGGCCUUGCCAAGAGCCAGCACCAACGGUCCAGGUUUGGAGUGUACCACCUUGGAAGUGAAUCUUCCAGUCCAGUCAAGCCUUCAGAUGACUUCAGAACCGUCCAUGUAAGCCACUCUUGGAUUCCUGACCCACAGAAACUGUUGGAGGCAUUAUCAACAGUUUCUAACAUCACAGACAGACAAACAUGUGCCUCCUGAUUGAAAAAACAGAACAUCACCUGUAGUCUUGCCAGUGAGAUCAAACUGAAGUCCAAUUAACCUCUGGAUCCAGCUGCCAAUUUGCAGGAAAUAGAGGAGAGAAGCAUCUGUUGAACUGCACCAUGAGUAUACACUCAGCAAAGGCCAAACUGUGGAAAAUGAUACAGGUCAAACAGCCUGGAUUCUUUAACAGACGGAGUCUCACUCUGUCACCCAGCCUGAAGUGCAAUGGUACAAUCUCAGCUCACUGCAACCUCCGCCUCCCGGGCUCAAGCAAUUCUCCUGCCUCAGCCUCCUGAAUAGCUGGGAUUACAGGCACGCGCCACCACGCCCAGCUAAUUUUUGUAUUUUUAGUAGAGACGGGGUUUCACCAUGUUGCCCAGGCUGGUCUUGAACUCCUGACCUCAGGUGAUCCACCCACCUCAGCCUCCCAAAGUGCUGGGAUUACAGGCAUGAGCCACCGUGCCUGGCCUUUUGUAUCUGUUUUAUUUUUUAAAUAAUAAGAUUAAAAAUAAAUAUUCUGCAUGAUUAAACAAAUACAGAUUUAAAUUUUUACAGUCCAAUUGAGUGAUUUCCUCAUGUUCCAAAACCAGGAAGUAGGUGUGGGACAUCUAUCUCCGUAUUGCAUACACAGUCUGGAUUCUAGUUGUAGACUCCAUAUGGGCUGUCAUACACGCUACUACAGAAAUGAGAGAAAUCCUUGGGAAAUGGAACCAUCUCACACAUGAGAGACAUCUCUGACAACUUAUUCAUAACUGAAUACUUCUCAUUUAUCUUUACCAGUAAGUGAUGUUUCUGAAGCACCAAUGAAAAUGAAGUCCUGAAGUCCUGUGCUCAAUAUGAAAUGUUGGAAGUUAGAAGAAAAAAACAAAACUUGGAUCCAAUCUCAAGGCACUUUUUGUUUAAUGGGAAGAAGUGGAUUAUUUUAAAAGCUACAAAUAAAGUUACAUAAAAGUAGCAAA
rnacentral:lncRNA from 1 species